GAGGGUGGCAAAGCUUCGGGCCGGUGCCCAGGCCACUGUGGCCAUGAGGGGUCCAGAGCAGCCUGGAUGGGGCCAAGGUGGCAGCGGGACAUGAYGCCRYAUCGGUGGGAUUAACMRUGUUUUCUUCCCCAGGSUUCCYRUGCACUGAUGUUCUUCAACCAGCUYCAAAGCCUUUCAGGAAAAAACAYGAAGGUGACAGCAACAGAAAAUACUCUGAAUUGUGAUUUUUUGGAAAAGAACAACUCUUAAGGCCACCUUAAGUCUUGUGAAAACACAGAUGCGCAAGGACGACGGGUGCAGAUUCCUGKUUUUUCUCCUGCUGCCUGCACACGCGUUGGGCGCGUGCAGCUUCCCAACCGCUGCAGCUGACCCCAUCUCAGCACCUCCCUGAAUGGCAUCAGCCCCCAGUGAGCCCCCGGGGCUGCUUUUGCCCCGAACAGAAGAAAAUGCAAUCAAACCCGUUAACAUUGGCCUCAUCCCCUGGUUAAGGCAGGAGCCGGMGCCAUGGGGGACCUGAGACAGGCGUUUGCAAUGCAACAGCAGCACCGACCGUGGGAAAAGGAGCAAAGAAACGYGACUGGGACCAUUAGUGGGUCAGGAGCACCCGUGUCCUCCUGCCCACCAAGCACGGCGACAGCCCAGCUGGACCACGUGCAUUUUACGGGAAUUUUCCCCAGCACCGUUUAAGUUACCAGCAUGCCCAUAGUCAACGGGUACCAGGGAUGGACGGGAAAGCUGCUGAAACUCCAAGGACUUGGACUGGGGAUUCCUGGACAGGGAAGUGGAGCUCGGGGUGUGAAUCUGGAUGGCCGCAUGCAGCAGGGAAGCUGAGCUUUCAAAGGCCCAGGAAAGACCUGCAUUUGUACCAUCAUUCAUAUACACAUAUGCUUUCAUAUAAUCACGUAUAAUCAUUGAAUCCUGGGCACAGCAAAAUUGCCUCGAUCUGCAAAAGCCUUUGCUAACCUGCCCUUGAAGAGCGAGACCUGAGGAUCCUCAGCAUCUCACAGGGCUGGCGUCCUUUUGAGGCAUUCAGAGUGGAAGGCAGACAAGAAGAUAAGGUUGGUGUCUGUGGGUACUUAAAGUAUUGCCCCAAGGAAUUGGACUCAGCAUUUCUAACGCAGGGUUGUUCUUCUGGCUGCGCAUGGUCACCAUUAGAUUCGUUCUGCUUCUUUGUAGACUGAGCUGACUGAGAAGGUUGAACUAAUUUGUGCGAUAUGUAGAGCAAUGCUGACAACAUUAGCCUAUUG
rnacentral:lncRNA from 1 species